AUAUAUUAAACCGGCGGGCACUAUAGCCUUACAUUAUAGUACAUACAUUUCGUUCAUGGAAUAUACUGCAACAUAUUAAUAUGGCUCUGACAUAUAUAUUCGCGUGCGUUCUGACCUGACUGUACGUGCGAUCAUUCGCCUCUCAGAAUGCUGGCUGUAAAAUGUCUAGUGGAAUAUCUGAAUACAAUGACGCUAAACGUGAUCACUGCAUAAGCUUGCUCGAUACAUACAUGAACAUUAGUGAUACAGACAGACAGGCACACUGUGCACACUUUAGACGACGAGGGGAAAACCCGUUGGCACUGGUAGAUACGCCCUAACACUGCAAGGUAAUUGCGUCUCAUGUCGGAACGGUUGUGAUUUAAUAGGACACACUUCAUACGCAGUAUAUAAAUACCAAGUGCCUUCUAGUAUUUCUUCCGAUGCAUUCUGGUUUACUCAAGAUUUCUACAAAGGAAUUGUCCAUAUUUGUCGUGUUCCACCAUUUUUGUAGAGUUGCAAAUGUCGUUUCCUUGCUUGGUUGUUUUCUUCAAACGACUUCAAGCGAAUAGAGAGGAACAUAGUCUUUGUCCUUGGAUAUUUAACGAGAGAAAAAGAUGAUCCGAGAGAUAUUGAUAGCCUCCUUGACGGUGAUCGUCCACGGGAUGGUAGACGCUGGCGAUGUCUGCCUUUCAAUAGGGGGUUGUGAAUGCAGUAGUCCACCCAUAUUCAAAGUUACAAGACCAACAUUUGGUGAUUGCCCUGCAGCUAGUAUUCGUUGCAACAAGGUAAGCAUUUCAAUUUCAAUGCAAUUCAUUCAUUCAGGCUUUGUGAAUAUAAAAAACGCAUUCAAAGUGUACCGAUCACAAAAUAGUAGUUUAAGUACUUGUGAGUAGGCAACUAGACGCACUCGUGUGCGCUCGCUUAAAACAGGGCCCUCAUAUACGGAACCUAAGUCUUAAUUGGGGUGCAGGUUUAUGUUAUUUUUAUUUGCUUAAUAUUCCUUAUCUAGAUGUACAUACACUGUCGCUCAUAAAGGUGG